rnacentral:misc_RNA from 1 species
AGGUGAACCUGCGGAAGGAUCAUUACCACACCAAAAAAACUUACCACGUGAAUCUGUACUGUCUAGUUUUGUACUGCACUCGAAAGAGUGUGGUUAAACGAAGGUUGGCUUUGUAUGUAAUGUACAGAGCUGGCUGAUGUACUCUUUUAAACCCCUUAACUAAAUUACUGAUAUAUACUGUGAGAAUGAAAAUUCUUGCUUUUAAUUAAAUAGCAACUUUCAACAGUGGAUGUCUAGGCUCGCA